UACGUAGGGUGCGAGCGUUGUCCGGAAUUAUUGGGCGUAAAGAGCUCGUAGGCGGUUUGUCGCGUCUGCUGUGAAAACCUAAGGCUCAACCUUGGGCUUGCAGUGGGUACGGGCAGACUAGAGUGCGGUAGGGGUGACUGGAAUUCCUGGUGUAGCGGUGAAAUGCGCAGAUAUCAGGAGGAACACCGGUGGCGAAGGCGGUUCUCUGGGCAUUACCUGACGGCUGAGGAGCGAAAGUGUGGGGAGCGAACAGG
rnacentral:rRNA from 1 species